CAUAAGAAAUGGAGAGCAGGCCGUAUGAGCUAGUCUUUUGGUGAAAAUUUGCAAUAGUAAAUAUACCCUAUCAUAUAAUGGACAAUUGCAGAGUUUUGCUUUAAACAGCAAUUAAAGGGGUAUUCUGAUAUAUAAAACUUGUCAAAAGUAUGUGAUACCAAGAAAAAAAAUCCUUAACAUAUCAGACAGUAUGAGGACUCAUUUUUUGCACCGUUAUCUGAAGAUUUUAUUGGUGUGACUUUACCCAUGACUUACUGAAUAAUUUAACACCAGAAGAGAUAUUCACAAGAAAAACAAAUGCUGUAAGAUUUUCCUACCCGGCCUGAUUUCUGCUGCAUCAAAUGGGAUGUCCAUUCCCA